CUAUAGCUCAGUUAGGUAGAGCACCUCGUUUACACGUGCGAGGUCUACGGUUCGAGUCCGUAUAGCCCUACCUAA
rnacentral:tRNA from 1 species